AUAUUGGACAAUGGGCGCAAGCCUGAUCCAGCAACGCCGCGUGGAGGAAGAAGGUUUUCGGAUCGUAAACUCCUGUCAGGUGGGACGAAAAGCCGUCGGUGAAUAGCCGGCGGUCACGACUGUACCAUCAGAGGAAGCCCCGGCUAACUCCGUGCCAGCAGCCGCGGUAAUACGGGGGGGGCGAGCGUUAUUCGGAAUUAUUGGGCGUAAAGGGCGCGUAGGCGGCAUGGCAAGUCAAAGGUGAAAGCUCCCGGCUCAACUGGGAGAGGACGGUCGAAACUGACAAACUAGAGUCCGACAGAGGUCGGCGGAAUUCCCGGUGUAGUGGUGGAAUGCGUAGAUAUCGGGAGGAACGCCAAAAGCGAAAGCAGCCGGCUGGGUCGAGACUGACACUGAGGGACGAAAGCGUGGGUAGCGAACAGGAUUAGAAACCCCGGUAGUCC
rnacentral:rRNA from 1 species